rnacentral:lncRNA from 1 species
GUUUUGUGAUGCUGGUUUCCAAUUGCCAGUCCAUCGUCCGCCACACUUUCAAACUCCGAUCAUCAGCCUGAGAGGCAAUGUAUUUUCCAACAGGAUCCCAGGUCAGCCCUUUCACCAAGCCAGAAUGCCCUUUCAAAGUGGCAAGAAUUUCUGGAAAUUUGACAGCAUUCCAGAUGACAACAGUGUUAUCCACACUACAGGAUGCCAGCCAAGCAUCAUGUGGAGACCACGCUACAUCCAUGACGUCCCCUGAAUGGCUUCUGAGAAUUGAUACACACCUCCACUGCUCAACGUUAGUUAGUUUGCUACUAGAGCCAAACACAGUGCUGGGUCCAAUGUACGCGGCUCGUUUCCACACCAUGAUCAGUUUGUCAUCUCCCCCUGAA